UACCACGGCAGGGUUCGUGACUGGGGUGAAGUCGUAACAAGGUAGCCGUAUCGGAAGGUGCGGCUGGAUCACCUCCUUUCUAGA
rnacentral:rRNA from 1 species